rnacentral:rRNA from 1 species
CUGGGACAAGCCCUGGAAACGGGGUCUAAUACCGGAUACUGACCCUCGCAGGCAUCUGCGAGGUUCGAAAGCUCCGGCGGUGAAGGAUGAGCCCGCGGCCUAUCAGCUUGUUGGUGAGGUAAUGGCUCACCAAGGCGACGACGGGUAGCCGGCCUGAGAGGGCGACCGGCCACACUGGGACUGAGACACGGCCCAGACUCCUACGGGAGGCAGCAGUGGGGAAUAUUGCACAAUGGGCGAAAGCCUGAUGCAGCGACGCCGCGUGAGGGAUGACGGCCUUCGGGUUGUAAACCUCUUUCAGCAGGGAAGAAGCGAAAGUGACGGUACCUGCAGAAGAAGCGCCGGCUAACUACGUGCCAGCAGCCGCGGUAAUACGUAGGGCGCAAGCGUUGUCCGGAAUUAUUGGGCGUAAAGAGCUCGUAGGCGGCUUGUCACGUCGG